rnacentral:rRNA from 1 species
CUGGAACGGGACGCCUUAGAGGGUGAGAGCCCCGUACGGUUGGCCACCAAGCCUGUGUAAAGCUCCUUCGACGAGUCGAGUAGUUUGGGAAUGCUGCUCAAAAUGGGAGGUAUAUUUCUUCUAAAGCUAAAUACUGGCCAGAGACCGAUAGCGCACAAGUAGAGUGAUCGAAAGAUGAAAAGCACUUUGAAAAGAGGGUUAAAUAGCACGUGAAAUUGUUGAAAGGGAAGGAUUUAUGACCAGACUUUUUCUGGGGGGAUCAUCCGGUGUUCUCACCGGNGCACUUCCCCCAGUUGAGGCCAGCAUCGGNUUCUGCCGGGGGAUAAAAGCUUUGGGAAUGUGGCUCCUUCGGGAGUGUUAUAGCCCGUUGCAUAANACCCUGGCGGGGNCCGAG